rnacentral:rRNA from 1 species
UACGUAGGGUGCAAGCGUUGUCCGGAAUUAUUGGGCGUAAAGAGCUCGUAGGCGGUCUGUCGCGUCGGCUGUGAAAACUCGGGGCUCAACCCCGAGCCUGCAGUCGAUACGGGCAGACUAGAGUGCGGUAGGGGAGACUGGAAUUCCUGGUGUAGCGGUGAAAUGCGCAGAUAUCAGGAGGAACACCGGUGGCGAAGGCGGGUCUCUGGGCAUUUCCUGACGCUGAGGCGCGAAAGCGUGGGGAGCAAACGGG